GACGAACGCUGGCGGCGUGCCUAAUACAUGCAAGUAGAACGCUGAAGGAGGAGCUUGCUUCUCUGGAUGAGUUGCGAACGGGUGGGUAACGCGUAGGUAACCUGCCUGGUAGCGGGGGAUAACUAUUGGAAACGAUAGCUAAUACCGCAUAAGAGUAGAUGUUGCAUGACAUUUGCUUAAAAGGUGCAAUUGCAUCACUACCAGAUGGACCUGCGUUGUAUUAGCUAGUUGGUGGGGUAACGGCUCACCAAGGCGACGAUACAUAGCCGACCUGAGAGGGUGAUCGGCCACACUGGGACUGAGACACGGCCCAGACUCCUACGGGAGGCAGCAGUAGGGAAUCUUCGGCAAUGGACGGAAGUCUGACCGAGCAACGCCGCGUGAGUGAAGAAGGUUUUCGGAUCGUAAAGCUCUGUUGUAAGAGAAGAACGAGUGUGAGAGUGGAAAGUUCACACUGUGACGGUAUCUUACCAGAAAGGGACGGCUAACUACGUG
rnacentral:rRNA from 1 species